UCGAUUUGGAGUUUGUUGCCCUGAGUGAUGGGCUCCGAAGCUAACGCGAUAAAUCGACCGCCUGGGGAGUACGGCCGCAAGGUUAAAACUCAAAUGAAUUGACGGGGGCCCGCACAAGCGGUGGAGCAUGUGGUUUAAUUCGAUGCAACGCGAAGAACCUUACCUGGUCUUGACAUCCACAGAAUCUUGCAGAGAUGCGAGAGUGCCUUCGGGAACUGUGAGACAGGUGCUGCAUGGCCGUCGUCAGCUCGUGUUGUGAAAUGUUGGGUUAAGUCCCGCAACGAGCGCAACCCUUAUCCUUUGUUGCCAUCGGUUAGGCCGGGAACUCAAAGGAGACUGCCGUUGAUAAAGCGGAGGAAGGUGGGGACGACGUCAAGUCAUCAUGGCCCUUACGACCAGGGCUACACACGUGCUACAAUGGCGUAUACAAAGGGAGGCGACCUCGCGAGAGCAAGCGGACCUCAUAAAGUACGUCUAAGUCCGGAUUGGAGUCUGCAACUCGACUCCAUGAAGUCGGAAUCGCUAGUAAUCGUGAAUCAGAAUGUCACGGUGAAUACGUUCCCGGGCCU
rnacentral:rRNA from 1 species